rnacentral:rRNA from 1 species
AUGAACGCUGGCGGCGUGCCUCAUCCAUGCCAGUCGCGCGAACAGACGAGGAGCUUGCUCCUCUGACGUUAGCGGCGGACGGGUGAGUAACACGUGGAUAACCUACCUAUAAGACUGGGAUAACUUCGGGAAACCGGAGCUAAUACCGGAUAAUAUAUUGAACCGCAUGGUUCAAUAGUGAAAGACGGUUUUGCUGUCACUUAUAGAAGGAUCCGCGCCGCAUUAGCUAGUUGGUAAGGUAACGGCUUACCAAGGCAACGAUGCGUAGCCGACCUGAGAGGGUGAUCGGCCACACUGGAACUGAGACACGGUCCAGACUCCUACGGGAGGCAGCAGUAGGGAAUCUUCCGCAAUGGGCGAAAGCCUGACGGAGCAACGCCGCGUGAGUGAUGAAGGUCUUCGGAUCGUAAAACUCUGUUAUUAGGGAAGAACAAAUGUGUAAGUAACUAUGCACGUCUUGACGGUACCUAAUCAGAAAGCCACGGCUAACUACGUG